UGGGCGGCAAGUAAAAGCUUGCUUCUUUGCCGGCGAGCGGCGGACGGGUGAGUAAUGCCUAGGGAUCUGCCCAGUCGAGGGGGAUAACAGUUGGAAACGACUGCUAAUACCGCAUACCCCCUACGGGGGAAAGGAGGGGACCUUCGGGCCUUCCGCGAUUGGAUGAACCUAGGGGGGAUUAGCUAGGUGGUGAGGUAAUGGCUCACCAGGGCGACGAUCCCUAUCUGUUCUGAGAGGAUGAUCACCCACACUGGGACUGAGACACGGCCCACACUCCUACGGGAGGCAGCAGUGGGGAAUAUUGCACAGUGGGGGAAACCCUGAUGCACCCAUGCCGCGUGUGUGAAGAAGGCCUUCGGGUUGUAAAGCACUUUCAGUAGGGAGGAAAGGUAGCAUCUUAAUACGCUGUUGCUGUGACGUUACCUACAGAAGAAGGACCGGCUAACUCCGUGCCAGCAGCCGCGGUAAUACGGAGGGUCCGAGCGUUAAUCGGAAUUACUGGGCGUAAAGCGUGCGCAGGCGGUUUGUUAAGCGAGAUGUGAAAGCCCCGGGCUCAACCUGGGAAUUGCAUUUCAAACUGGCGAACUAGAGUCUUGUAGAGGGGGGUAGAAUUCCAGGUGUAGCGGUGAAAUGCGUAGAGAUCUGGAGGAAUACCGGUGGCGAAGGCGGCCCCCUGGACAAAGACUGACGCUCAGGCACGAAAGCGUGGGGAGCAAACAAGAUUAUAUACUCUGGUAGUCCACGCCGUAAACGAUGUCUACUCAGAGUUUGGUGUCUUGAACACUGGUCUCUCAAGCUAACGCAUUAAGUACACCGCGUGGAGAGUACGGCCGCAAGGAUAACACUCAUAUGUAUUGACGGGGGCCCGCACAAGCGGUGGAGCAUGUGGUUUAUUUCGAUGCCACGCGAAGAACCUUACCUACUCUUGACAUCCACAGAAUUCUCUAGAGAUAUCUUAGU
rnacentral:rRNA from 1 species